AAUUCAUUUUUCCAAACAAAGUCCCACGAUGGCCUAUCUUUUACGCCUUGAUCAAAUUCAACUCUUGUCCUGCAAAUAGGACACGCAGAAACCUUAACAAGCCAACUAUCCACACAUUUCAUAUGCAAGACAUGACCACAGCCAACAAGGUUUCUACACCACUGCCCUUGCUUUAUAUCUUCAAGACAAACCACACAUGAACUUUGAUCAGCAGCCGUUUCAGGUGUCGUCUUAGUCGAGAAUCUGAAUCUCGGGAGCUUCUUUAAGUCUUUGAGAGGCAACCCCUUUGGGGGAUUGGAGGAUGGAGUCGAGUGGCGGUGGAGUGCGGCGGUGGGAAUGAGGAGGAGGAUGGCGGCAACACCAAGGAGUACGAAAAAAAGGAUGGUUAUUGCGAUCAUUACUAUGGCUUUCAGGACAAGAAAAAUAAACUUCCGGUUUGGUUUUGGUGGUGCACCACCGUGGUGAUGAGGAGGAGGAGACAUGGUUACAGAUGGAAGUUAAUGAACGAAAAGGAAAUGGUCAGACUGAAAAGGUUUUUGGUGUGACUCCAAAAAUGGGGUCCAAUUUAUAGAAUAUGAGAGAAGAAGAAAGAGGAAUGCGUUUUUUAUUAUUCCACUUUCUUCUUUCUGUGGGUAGAAAAGGGCGGCUAUAGUUAGAACUUAGAAUGUCGAUCUGAUGUCGCAAUGUGUUCGCAUGCUGGUUUACGCGGAGGAUCUGUCACCAUUCUCACGCAAAACCUACGUGUAGUUUCUUCUGCGUUGGAUGAGAUGGACCUAGCUAGGUAGGUAGGAGGUAGGUUCCUUUACAACAGUCCUUGUCAUAAGAAAAAACAAAAUGACAAGAAAACGCUAAGUUAUUCUAUCCGUAGAUCCAUAGAAUUGUAACAGGGCGUUCUUGUCUUGAAUUAUCUUUCUAAAAUCUUCAUGAUUUUUAAUCAGAUAUUUCCUUAAGACGGCCACGGUUUUGUUAUAUAAAAUAUGUACUCUUGAUCGAAUAUACUAAUGGAUGGAUAGAUUGAUAUGCUGUCGCCGUCGCCGUCGCCGUCGUUUUAUGCAUAAAACAACAGAAAUAGAAUUCAAAUUGUUUAGUUUAGUUGGAUGAGAAUAAGAAUGAUGAUAAUGAAGAUAAACUUCGUAGCGAAUUCCCUACGUUAAUAUACUUGAAUGGUUAUUAACCAAUUAUUUCGUUCAUUGUAUUUCUUUUUAAAUAUAAUUGUUGGUUGCAACAAAGUUAUUGUGUUUCAAAAUUAAUUUUAAUUUUAAAAUUAAUCUUGAUAUAGUUUAAAUUUAGAAUUUAAUGAGUUAUAAAUUUAAAAGAUUAUUUUUUUAAUUUUAAUAUAUUCUUUAAAGUGUUAAAAAAAUAAUCUAGAGUUAGCCAAGAAUAUAAUUUUAACUUUAAAGUUGAUUAAAUAACUUGUGCAAACUUUUGAGGAAUACAUGUAUAUGUAUAGUCGUGUACACACAUAUUUAGUGAUGAGUUAUACUUUCGAGAGACACGUAUAUAAAGGUGUUACCUAUAUAAAUAUAUAUUAACUUGUCGAGUAAUUUAAGAGAUUUCACCCAUAGUUUUUAAAUCUGGUCUGGUGGCCGGCCCGGUUCAAGAUUUAGAUUUCAAGUUUUGAUUGAGUCACCGGGUUUUGAUCAGGUCGGCCGGGUCAAUUUCUAUUUAAAAAAAAUUCAAAACGGUGUCGUUUUAGAAAAAAAACAAAAGUCAACGGGUUGCAACCGGGUUACCAGGUCAACCUGUCGGGUCACACCGGGUCAUGAUUUUUUCUAUUUUUUCAUCAACCCCGCCCGGUUCCAGCCUCGGGUCCCAAGUCGACCCGCCGGGCCGGGCCGAUUUCAAAACUAUGAUUUCACCCCAUAAAAACACAUGAAUUAUAUUAUUAAAAAUCAAGGAUCAAUGUAAGAUUAUGCUAUUCUUUUAUAUGAAGACAACUGAUUAAAUAAAUUUACUCAAUAUAAAAAUAAAAUUGUAAACUCUUAACAGCACAAGGACCAAAGUGUAAUGUUAUUCAAACUGGUCACCUGUCCCUUCAAGAUCUGCCACCGUAUAUAUAUAGACAGAUAUCUAUGGGCGCUCCUCAAUCGUUUGAUGGGUUAUGGCUCCAGUUUUGAUGGGUCCCACGUGUCACAGAAAAGGAUACGCUUAGGUGAUUUGGGAUUAACCAGUCAAUUAAUCAUAUGUUUUUUUAUCAACCAAUAUUAAAUUAAAUUAAAAAUUAAAAAUAAAACUAAAAAAAGAUGUUGAAUCCAUGUAGCUCUCCUCAGAGCACUGUACUCUCUGAUUAUUAUUUUUUCCAGUCCCCCCCACGUUUUUUUUCCACAAAGAUCCAAGCUUUAAACAACAAUUCACCAGAAGCACAUCGCAAUGAAAAUUUUAGAAUGGGAGGAGAGCAGAUGCAACUACCAGUCAGUAUUCUUUUCGAAAAUCCAGCUUCAUGUGAGAAAGAAUCAAAUUUUGAGAUAUCUGCGUUCUAUCCAGCAUGAUAUCUCUUUUUCUUCCAUCCUAUCAACAAUCUUUUUAGAAAACAGGGUGAUAUUGAAUGGUUCAAGAAUCAAAUUUCAAAAUCCCUUUUUAUUUGAACAAAUCAUAUUGAAUACUGGGAUAAACUAGAUGUUGCAAAAUAUUUCUUAAAAGGAGUAGUAACCGAAGCUCAAGAUUAUAUGACGCUAAUUUUUGUAUGGAAAUUCAAGAAAGUGGCGGUUCCCUAACAGGAUCAUCGUGUUUUUUGUAUAUUUUUGGCAAGUCCUGACAGGGUCUUUGUUAAACCAGCAUGAAAAAAAUCUUUAUCCAAUGAAGUAGCACGCCAAGCACUAAAAUCCCAAGAUUUUACAUGAUAUUCAGAGGCCAUGGCAUAGUAUAAUACAGUUUUUGCACUUCAGUUCAAAGGAUCUGCACUGAACUAGUUUUUUUCGCCAAGGCCACUUACAAAUGGGGAAGCCUCAAGAAUCAAAUUUCACUAUAGGGAGAAGGAACCACAAAGGUUCGUUGCAUAAAACCAAAGGAAACAAGAUAUCAAAGUUAUGCAGUGACAACAAGAAAAGAAGGAUUCCCCAUUCCAACAAUUAACUCCGCCAUAAAUUCUUGGAAAUGAACUGUAUGACUUAGAAGCCACAAGAAUAUGCAUAACACAGCAAGGAGAAUCAUUCCCCAAGCACCAAUCCAUUAAUGCCUAAAAAAUAAAAGAAAUGGAAUGCAGCGUGUGAUUUCACUACUCAACCACAGCAUCGUAUUGUACCCACUUCGCAACUGGCCACAGCGUUAGAUCAUGACCCAAAAUCCAGGCAAACAAUAAGUUUAGCAAAAGGCAAAAGCAGAGUAGGGGAAUCUCGUAGAAUAUAUCAAGAGUAGUCACAACAAAGACCAACAUAAAAGCAAGCUCAAGCUCGACAUAUUGGCAAUUAUCUAUUACAGUAAUCAAAAUCCAGCAUCAAACAGCAGAUUCAAAAACCAGCAACAAAAGGAAAUCACCAAGAUGAACAAAUAAGAAGAAAUGAGAUCAAAUCAAAACAGGUGUAUUCAAAGUCAAAUCUAAUUUCUCUAUGUAACAGUCAAAAAUACUAGAGAGAGAGAGAUGAUUAUCUCAGUCAAAAGAUAUGCAAGGCUGCUGCUUUCUCUCGUAUAAGAAAAGCUAAUCUGAUGUUGUAAAAUUAGUUGGUGACGAAAGAAGCAGACUGGUAAGAAUUUCAUGAUGUUAUGCAGCUUAUAUUGAUGGUAUCUUUUUUCUUUUGAACUCCAAGCUAUUUGCUGUUCUGUAUUUCUGUUUGCUUGGAUCGAAACACUUAAGAACACAGAAAUAUCCUAGGAGUAGGUGGAUAGCCGCUUAAAAGCAACAAUUACUCUAAUGAAAUGGAAUAAGUUUUUGUUGAAGUAUGAAAGUAUCAUGUAGUGUUUUAUUACCACUACAUUGAGGUAAUUAUUGACUUCUUAAGAGGUUAUGAAAUGGGGUUAAUAGAUUUUAAUGUUACUCUAAUUUGAUUGAGUAAAGAAAAUAUUCGUGAGCAACCAUUUCAUGUACUGGGAAAUAAAAAUUUAGCUUGUCCUCAUCAAUUUGCAGAAUUCCUACUGUAUGCAGCCGCUAAAUUCAUUUCGAUUAUGAAUAAGUAAAUCCAUUUGGAAAAGAAUUGAUUUCUUCCUAAUAAAUUCAUCAAGCACAGACAACCUUUCAUGCGGUCUCCACAGACAAUUCAAAGGAAAGUAAUUGAGCUCUGACCUCUUAAAAGCACCAACCUUUCAUUUCUGACAGAUCAAAGUAGUCGCGUUUGAAUUACAAUCAAGAAUCCAACCACCAAAAUCAGAUUUCGUAUUCAAAACAGAGCAUAUAUCAUGAAGAGAAUUAUCGACCGAACAAGCAUGCUGCAAUUCAUGAUCAAAUACAUGGAUUUGAAAGUUGAUACCAUUCGUCUAUUUAUAAAACCAAAAAUCUAAUGACGUACAUACAUAAAAAGAAGAGGGGAUCAAAAUUUAACAAGAACUUACAAUUAGAUAGAGAAAAAGAAAAUGCUACCAAACCCUCAAUUCAUUUCUCCAAACAAAGUCCCACAAUGGCCUAUCUUUUACGCCCUGAUCCAAUUCAACUCGCGUCCUGCAAAUAGGACAUGCAGAAACCUUGACAAGCCACGCAUCCACACAUUUCCUAUGAAACACAUGACCACAGCCAACAAGGUUUCGACACCACUGCCCUUGCUUUAUCUCUUCAAGACAAACCACACAUGAACUUUGAUCAGCACCCGUUUCGGGUCUCGUCUUAGUCGAAAAUCUGAAUCUUGGGAGCUUCUUUAAUUCUUUGAGAGGCAACGCCUUCGGGGAAUUGGAGGAUGUAGUCGAGUGGCGGUGGAGUGCGGAGGUGGCAAAGAGGAGGAGGAUGGCGGCAACGCCAAGGAAUAAGAAAAAAAAGAUGGUUAUUGCAGUCAUUAUUAUGGCUUUCAGGAUUAAAGAAAGAAACUCUUGGUUUGGUUUUGGUGGUGCUCCACCGUGUGUACGGUGGUGAUCAUGGUGGUGGUGAGGAGGAGGCAUGGUUACAGAUGGAUGUGAAAGAAUGAAAAGGAAAAGGUUUUUGGUAUCUGCAAAAGUUGGGUCCAAUAGAUGAGUAUGAGAAAAGAAGAAAAGAGAAGUGCGGUUUUUACGACUCCACUUUUAGUUUUCUUUCUUUCUAUGGGCA
rnacentral:lncRNA from 1 species